rnacentral:rRNA from 1 species
CCUACGGGGGGCAGCAGUGGGGAAUAUUGCACAAUGGGCGCAAGCCUGAUGCAGCCAUGCCGCGUGUGUGAAGAAGGCCUUCGGGUUGUAAAGCACUUUCAGCGGGGAGGAAGGCGGUGAGGUUAAUAACCUCAUCGAUUGACGUUACCCGCAGAAGAUGCACCGGCUAACUCCGUGCCAGCAGCCGCGGUAAUACGGAGGGUGCAAGCGUUAAUCGGAAUUACUGGGCGUAAAGCGCACGCAGGCGGUCUGUCAAGUCGGAUGUGAAAUCCCCGGGCUCAACCUGGGAACUGCAUUCGAAACUGGCAGGCUAGAGUCUUGUAGAGGGGGGUAGAAUUCCAGGUGUAGCGGUGAAAUGCGUAGAGAUCUGGAGGAAUACCGGUGGCGAAGGCGGCCCCCUGGACAAAGACUGACGCUCAGGUGCGAAAGCGUGGGGAGCAAACAGGAUUAGAUACCUGGUAGUC